rnacentral:rRNA from 1 species
AUUGAACGCUGGCGGCAUGCCUUACACAUGCAAGUCGAACGGUAACGCGGGGCAACCUGGCGACGAGUGGCGAACGGGUGAGUAAUGUAUCGGAACGUGCCCAGUUGUGGGGGAUAACUGCUCGAAAGAGCAGCUAAUACCGCAUACGACCUGAGGGUGAAAGCGGGGGAUCGCAAGACCUCGCGCAAUUGGAGCGGCCGAUAUCAGAUUAGGUAGUUGGUGGAGUAAAGGCUCACCAAGCCAACGAUCCGUAGCUGGUCUGAGAGGACGACCAGCCACACUGGGACUGAGACACGGCCCAGACUCCUACGGAAGGCAGCAGUGGGGAAUUUUGGACAAUGGACGCAAGUCUGAUCCAGCCAUGCCGCGUGCGGGAAGAAGGCCUUCGGGUUGUAAACCGCUUUUGUCAGGGAAGAAACGCUCUGGGUUAAUACCUCGGGGUAAUGACGGUACCUGAAGAAUAAGCACCGGCUAACUACGUGCCAGCCGCCGCCGUAGUAA